rnacentral:rRNA from 1 species
CUGGCGUCAGGACGAACGCUGGCGGCAUGCCUAACCACAUGCAAGUCGAACAGAGUAUCAGGGGCGUUGCUCUUGAUACUUAGUGGCGAACGGGUGAGUAACGCGUGAGCAACCUGCCUUCAAAACCGGGAUAACACAGAGAAAUUUGUGCUAAUACCGGAUAAGACCACAGUGUCGCAUGACACAGUGGUAAAAACUCAGGUGAUUGAAGAGGGGCUCGCGACCCAUUAGCUUGUUGGCGGGAUAACAGCCCACCAAGGCGACGAUGGGUAGCCGACUUGAGAGAGUGAUCGGCCACACUGGAACUGAGACACGGUCCAGACUCCUACGGGAGGCAGCAGGUGGGGAAUAUUGGGCAAUGGAGGAAACUUCCUUACCCAGCAAUGCCGCGUGAGUGAAGAAGGUCGUAAGAUUGUAAAGCUCUUUAAUUGGGGACGAAGACAGUGACGGUACCCAAAGAAUAAGCCCCGGCUAACUACGUGCCAGCAGCCGC